rnacentral:rRNA from 1 species
UACAGAGGGUGCAAGCGUUAAUCGGAAUUACUGGGCGUAAAGAGCACGUAGGUGGUUGGAUAAGUCAGAUGUGAAAUCCCCGGGCUUAACCUGGGAAUGGCAUUUUGAACUGGCAGUCUAGAGUGUGUCAGAGGGGGGUGGAAUUCCACGUGUAGCAGUGAAAUGCGUAGAUAUGUGGAGGAACACCAAUGGCGAAGGCAGCCCCCUGGGAUAACACUGACGCUCAUGUACGAAAGCGUGGGUAGCAAACAGG